rnacentral:rRNA from 1 species
UACGUAGGGUGCGAGCGUUGUCCGGAAUUAUUGGGCGUAAAGAGCGUGUAGGCGGCUAGGUAGGUCCGUUGUGAAAACUCGAGGCUCAACCUCGAGACGCCGAUGGAAACCAUCUGGCUAGAGUCCGGAAGAGGAGAGUGGAAUUCCUGGUGUAGCGGUGAAAUGCGCAGAUAUCAGGAAGAACACCCGUGGCUAAGGCGGCUCUCUAGUACGGUACUGACGCUGAGACGCGAAAGCGUGGGGAGCGAACAGG